CCUACGGGUGGCAGCAGUGAGGAAUAUUGGUCAAUGGACGCAAGUCUGAACCAGCCAUGCCGCGUGCAGGAAGACGGCUCUAUGAGUUGUAAACUGCUUUUGUACGAGGGUAAAUCCCGAUACGUGUAUCGGGUUGAAAGUAUCGUACGAAGAAGGAUCGGCUAACUCCGGGCCAGCAGCCGCGGUAAUACGGAGGAUUCAAGAGUUAGCCGGAUUUAUUGGGUUUACAGGGUGCGUAGGCGGGUUAUGAAGUCAGCGGUAAAAUCGUGGAGCUCAACUCCAUCCCGCCUUUGAAACUGAUGAUCUUGAGUGGGCGAGAAGUAUGCGGAAUGCGUGGUGUAGCGGUGAAAUGCAUAGAUAUCACGCAGAACUCCGAUUGCGAAGGCAGCAUACCGGCGCCCGACUGACGCUGAAGCACGAAAGCGUGGGUAUCGAACAGGAUUAGAUACCCCUGUAGUC
rnacentral:rRNA from 1 species